rnacentral:rRNA from 1 species
AUGCACGCUGGCGGCGUGCCUAAUACCUGCCAGUCGAGCGAACGGACGAGAAGCUUGCUUCUCUGAUGUUAGCGGCGGACGGGUGAGUAACACGUGGAUAACCUACCUAUAAGACUGGGAUAACUUCGGGAAACCGGAGCUAAUACCGGAUGAUAUUUUGAACCGCAUGGUUCAAAAGUGAAAGACGGUCUUGCUGUCACUUAUAGAUGGAUCCGCGCUGCAUUAGCUAGUUGGUAAGGUAACGGCUUACCAAGGCAACGAUGCAUAGCCGACCUGAGAGGGUGAUCGGCCACACUGGAACUGAGACACGGUCCAGACUCCUACGGGAGGCAGCAGUAGGGAAUCUUCCGCAAUGGGCGAAAGCCUGACGGAGCAACGCCGCGUGAGUGAUGAAGGUCUUCGGAUCGUAAAACUCUGUUAUUAGGGAAGAACAUAUGUGUAAGUAACUGUGCACAUCUUGACGGUACCUAAUCAGAAAGCCACGGCUAACUACGUG